AUUGAACGCUGGCGGCAGGCCUAACACAUGCAAGUCGAGCGGGGUUUUCGGACCUAGCGGCGGACGGGUGAGUAAUGCGUAGGAAGCUACCCGAUAGAGGGGGAUACCAGUUGGAAACGACUGUUAAUACCGCGUAAUGUCUACGGACCAAAGUGUGGGACCUUCGGGCCACAUGCUAUCGGAUGCGCCUACGUGGGAUUAGCUAGUUGGUGAGGUAAUGGCUCACCAAGGCGACGAUCUCUAGCUGGUUUGAGAGGAUGAUCAGCCACACUGGAACUGAGACACGGUCCAGGCUCCUACGGGAGGCAGCAGUGGGGAAUAUUGGACAAUGGGCGCAAGCCUGAUCCAGCCAUGCCGCGUGUGUGAAGAAGGCCUUCGGGUUGUAAAGCGCUUUCAGCGAGGAGGAAGGGUUGUGUGUUAAUAGUACACAGCUUUGACGUUACUCGCAGAAGAAGCACCGGCUAAUUCUGUGCCAGCAGCCGCCGUAA
rnacentral:rRNA from 1 species